CUGUAACAUCCUUACUUCCAGGCUCACAUUAGGGGAGCAAGACUGCAGCUCAGUUACAUCCACACUGCCAGCCUCACAUUAGAGGGGCCCACAGUGCAGCUCUUUAACAUCCAUACUGCCAGCCUCACGUUAGGGGAUCUAGAUUGCAGCUCCGUAAUGCCAGCCUCAAAUUAGGGGAGCCUAGACUGCAGCUGUGUAACAUGC